GCCUUCGUGGUGUAAUGGUCAGCGCACUUGAGCGUAUUCGAGAGGUCCGAGGUUCGACUCUCGGCGAGGGCA
rnacentral:tRNA from 1 species